CCUACGGGAGACAGCAGUGGGGGAUAUUGCACAAUGGGGGAAACCCUGAUGCAGCGACGCCGCGUGGGUGAAGAAGCGCCUCGGCGCGUAAAGCCCUGUCAGCAGGGAAGAAAAUGACGGUACCUGACUAAGAAGCCCCGGCUAACUACGUGCCAGCAGCCGCGGUAAUACGUAGGGGGCAAGCGUUAUCCGGAUUUACUGGGUGUAAAGGGGGCGCAGACGGCGAUGCAAGCCAGGAGUGAAAGCCCGGGGCCCAACCCCGGGACUGCUCUUGGAACUGCGUGGCUGGAGUGCAGGAGGGGCAGGCGGAAUUCCUGGUGUAGCGGUGAAAUGCGUAGAUAUCAGGAGGAACACCGGUGGCGAAGGCGGCCUACUGGACUGCAACUGACGUUGAGGCCCGAAAGCGUGGGGAGCAAACAGGAUUAGAUACCCCUGUAGUC
rnacentral:rRNA from 1 species